rnacentral:lncRNA from 1 species
CGGGUCCGAGUCUGGAUACUUAGGUUACUAAUAUAUCCAUCGGAUCUAUUUGAGCUGGUAUGGAUAGCGACUACCCGUAUACUACUCGUUCAAGACCAAAUACGGGUCGAGUCUAAAUCGGGUACAGGUACCCAUAUACAUAUUUUUUUUUAUAGGCUUUAUUAAAUAAUCUGCGGACAAACUAUAAAUCAUCCCCUAUAAAAAAAUCGCAUUCUAAUAAAUUGUACCCGGUCCAAUAAAAUUUAUUCAAAAGAAAAAUAAAAUAUCUCAAUACAUGGGUCCAAAAUAUAUACACCUACCAUAUGGUAAUAUGAACCAUGCAUAUAAUACCACAAUAUAUAUGGGACUAAAACACAUGCACCUGUUGGCUUAAAUAGGCCAGCAUUCUAUCCUGUGGCGGGAGACCAUGUUACGUCAAGUCAUGUUCGAAAUGGCGUAAGGCUCGAUGGACUGAGUCAUGUAUGUUCGAAGUGGCAUGAGACUGGUUGGGCCGAGUCUCAAUCGAGACCCGUGGGCGUUGUAUCUAUAUAUUUUAAGUGAAUUGGUUGUGCGUAUUUCUAAUAGCUCAAGCUUUUGGGAUUAAUGGUAAGCAUCAACGAUCCGACAAAUGGUAU